rnacentral:rRNA from 1 species
CCUACGGGGGGCUGCAGUGGGGAAUAUUGAACAAUGGGGGAAACCCUGAUGCAGCCAUGCCGCGUGUGUGAAGAAGGCCUUCGGGUUGUAAAGCACUUUCAGCGAGGAGGAAAGGUCAGUAGCUAAUAUCUGCUGACUGUGACGUUACUCGCAGAAGAAGCACCGGCUAACUCCGUGCCAGCAGCCGCGGUAAUACGGAGGGUGCAAGCGUUAAUCGGAAUUACUGGGCGCGGUGCGCACGCUGGGAUUUGAAAGCCCCGGGCUCAACCUGGGAAUUGCAUUUAAAACUGUCCAGCUAGAGUCUUGUAGAGGGGGGUAGAAUUCCAGGUGUAGCGGUGAAAUGCGUAGAGAUCUGGAGGAAUACCGGUGGCGAAGGCGGCCCCCUGGACAAAGACUGACGCUCAGGUGCGAAAGCGUGGGGAGCAAACAGGAUUAGAUACCCGAGUAGUC